rfam:Spinacia oleracea cultivar SynViroflay scaffold45406.con0043.1, whole genome shotgun sequence.
CAUGAUCUAACGGGGUGUCUUUUGUGCUUGCGUGCAAAAGGCUGAGAGGCUUGCCAACCCGAAGAACCUGAUCCGGUUCAUACCGGCGGAGGGAUUAGACGGCUUCAAGGC